AGUGAACGCUGGCGGUAGGCCUAACACAUGCAAGUCGAACGGCAGCACAGUAAGAGCUUGCUCUUACGGGUGGCGAGUGGCGGACGGGUGAGGAAUACAUCGGAAUCUACUUUUUCGUGGGGGAUAACGUAGGGAAACUUACGCUAAUACCGCAUACGACCUACGGGUGAAAGCAGGGGAUCUUCGGACCUUGCGCGAUUGAAUGAGCCGAUGUCGGAUUAGCUAGUUGGCGGGGUAAAGGCCCACCAAGGCGACGAUCCGUAGCUGGUCUGAGAGGAUGAUCAGCCACACUGGAACUGAGACCCGGUCCAGACCCCUAGGGGGGGCAGCAGGGGGGAAAUUUGGAAAAUGGGCGAAAGCCUGAUCCAGCCAUCCCGCGGGGGUAAAGAAGGCCUUCGGGUUGUAAAGCCCUUUUGUUGGGAAAAAAAAGCAGCAGGUUAAUACCCCGCUGUUCUGACGGUACCCAAAAAAUAAGCACCGGCUAACUUCGU
rnacentral:rRNA from 1 species